AAAAUUUCCCCAAACUUUUUCACCCCUGGAAACCUACAAUAGUGCUACAGGUGUAUAGGUUGGAGGAAUCCCAUCAGCUGUGCGACGCAUCUGGUCACCGGAAUGAUAGAUUCCAGAAAGAGACGUAGAAAAUCUGAAGACAGUAAUGCCGUUAGGGUUGAUAGUGCUGAGGAAGAAGAAGAAGUAAAAGUUGUAUGCUUCGGUUGUUGUGGAGAAGAAGCGAUUAAUUACAAGCGUAAAUCGUACAUUGAAGCAUUAGAAAAUUUAUUAUCAGAAAAAGUUUUGAACUGUGAAGAGGAAGCCUAUAAAUUAUAUUGCGAUUAUGCUUUUGCUAUGGGAUUUAGUGUUAGGAAAGGGAAACAGUAUUACUUCGAGGGUACAAAAAGGGUUAGGGCAAAAAUGUAUUGUUGUUCGAAAGAGGGGUUGGCUAUUAGUGAGAGGGAGGGUGGAAAUGGUGGUAGUAAUAGUUGUAAUAAUAAUAAAUUGGAGACUAGGACUGGUUGUAAGGCUAUGAUUUAUUUUGUCUGUAACAAGGGGGAGUGGAAAGUAGGAAAGUUUGUCAAGGAGCAUAAUCAUGAGAUGGCCGAGGUUUGUGAGAGGCCGCUUUUGAGAUCGGCUCGAGCAGCUUUAGCUUCGAAUUAUGGUGGAAUGCAGCCCAAGUUGUCGGAUAUGUCAAGCCCUUGUUGUGAAGUCGAAAAGCCUGAAGAUGUCAUCGAUCUUGACAGCGAUGAAGAGGAUGUAAUGUGUCUGCGCUGUAAUGGUGCAGAAGGAGAAGCUGAAGCGUGCGAGUGUUCAUCUAAUACUGAUGUUGACGAUCUAGAAAAGAUAUUGGCGGAACAAGUAAUUCAAAAUGAAGAAGAGGCCUACAAGGUGUACUGUGACUAUGCACAUGUAAUGGGUUUCAGUGUUAGGAAAGGAAAGCAGUAUUACUUUCCUGGGACCAAAAGAAUAAGAUCAAAAUCAUACUACUGUUCCAAGGAAGGGUGUGUGAAUGAAGAUAUAAGUGUAGCAACCCACAACAAAUUGGAUGCUCGAACAGGAUGUAAAGCCAUGAUUUGUUUCACAUGUGAUGAGGGUGGCCAGUGGAAGGUUACGAAAUUUGUGAAGGAGCAUAACCAUAAAAUGGCUGAGCCCUAUGAGAGGCAUUUGUUGAGAUCUGCACGGUCAGUUUCAGAUGCAAAAGGCAGCACUGCUUCACAGUCGAUGAAGCUUGCAGGUCUUAAUAAUGUCACUUGCUCUAUAGAAUGUUCUGGAAGUGAGUCAAUUGGACAUGAAAACUCAAUUAAAGAACCGCAUGAAGGUAUGAUGUUUGAAACUGAGGACGCUGCAAGGGCAUUUUAUGGUGAAUAUGCAAGGGAUGUAGGAUUUGUCAUGGAUGUAAUGUUGAGCUGUCCAUCAGUGAUGGAGGGAAGUUCGAUUGCCCAUCAUUCUGGAUGUAAUGAGGGAGACUUUUGUGCUAAUAAGUACAAUCCACUUCGACUUGUUGUAAACCAGCAUCCAGGCUCAGGAGCAAGGUGUCAGGCUAUGAUGACUGUAAAGUCUGACAAAUCUGGAAAUUGGGUGGUCACUAGAUUUUUGAGGGAUCACAGUCAUCCACUUGUAAUUUUCCCAAGAGAAGUUAGAUAUUCCAUGGAUGAUAAGGACAAGAAGAUUCAGGAGCUAACAUCCGAGCUUCGAAAUAAGAGACGGUUGUGUACGAUGUAUCAGGAGCAAUUGAUGUUAUUCAUGAGGGAGGUUGAAGAACAUAUUAAUCAAUUAUCAAGAAAAACUGAAUUGAGUCUACAACUGAGCAUCGAAGAUUGUAGCUAUUGUCUGUACAUAUAAUCUUUCCAAACUAUUCAUGGCAUUGAUUUGCCAAAUCUGCAAAGUUGUUCCCAUUCCAUGCAGGAACAUGUUAACAGAUGACUGUUCUCCUCUGCAGCUAGUACUUACAGGUUUUGAGGACCUGCAGUUGCACCUCUGUAAUUGCUACCGAAGAUGCCAUGGCCUAGAUUUGGGCACAUAACUUAUAUGUAGCAACAGGUGGCCUAGAUCUUGCCACAACAGCAACGUCCCCAGCUUGGCUAUUAAGUCUUGUUUGGUGCAAUUGUAGACAAUCUCAGAAACGGUAGACAAACCAUUAAGUCUUGUUUGGUGCACUUUUCUCAUGGGAUUGGUUGAAAUUUUGGCUGACAAGAAUUUCAAAUUCGUACAACUCUAAUAUACUUCAUAUAUUGGUGCUAAUUAAAGCCUAUGUGAUUGACAGUUUCCACUGCACUAUGUGAUGUAAACUUUCAAAAAGCAAAUGUAUAUUAUCACAUAACUUCCAUGUAUGAUAGGUACUCGUGAACAAGGUUAGCAAUGAGUCAUGUCAUGUUAUACAGAACUUAUGGUAGGUACUAAAGU